UAUUGGACAAUGGGGGAAACCCUGAUCCAGCAAUGCCGCGUGAGUGAUGAAGGCCUUAGGGUUGUAAAGCUCUUUCGCCCACGACGAUGAUGACGGUAGUGGGAGAAGAAGCCCCGGCUAACUUCGUGCCAGCAGCCGCGGUAAUACGAAGGGGGCUAGCGUUGUUCGGAAUUACUGGGCGUAAAGCGUACGCAGGCGGCGCAUUAAGUCAGGGGUGAAAGGCCUGGGCUCAACCCAGGAACUGCCUUUGAGACUGAUGUGCUCGAGUCCGGAAGAGGGUAGUGGAAUUUCCAGUGUAGAGGUGAAAUUCGUAGAUAUUGAAAGAACACCGGGGCGAAGGGGGCUACCUGUCCGGUACUGACGCUCAAGUACGAAA
rnacentral:rRNA from 1 species